UGGCGGCAUGCCUUACACAUGCAAGUCGAACGGCAGCACGGGAGCAAUCCUGGUGGCGAGUGGCGAACGGGUGAGUAAUAUAUCGGAACGUGCCCAGUCGUGGGGGAUAACGUAGCGAAAGCUACGCUAAUACCGCAUACGAUCUAUGGAUGAAAGCGGGGGAUCGCAAGACCUCGCGCGAUUGGAGCGGCCGAUAUCAGAUUAGCUAGUUGGUGGGGUAAAAGCCCACCAAGGCGACGAUCUGUAGCUGGUCUGAGAGGACGACCAGCCACACUGGAACUGAGACACGGUCCAGACUCCUACGGGAGGCAGCAGUGGGGAAUUUUGGACAAUGGGCGAAAGCCUGAUCCAGCAAUGCCGCGUGCAGGACGAAGGCCUUCGGGUUGUAAACUGCUUUUGUACGGAACGAAAAAGUCUUUUCUAAUAAAGAGG
rnacentral:rRNA from 1 species